GCCUGCAUGGAGUAGUGGUUAACUCACCGGUCUCCGACUACUCUACAGUCAGUAAGCCGGGUACCCGGGUUCGAACCCCGGUGUAGGUG